UAGGGAAUCUUCGGCAAUGGGGGCAACCCUGACCGAGCAACGCCGCGUGAGUGAAGAAGGUUUUCGGAUCGUAAAGCUCUGUUGUAAGUCAAGAACGGGUGUGAGAGUGGAAAGUUCACACUGUGACGGUAGCUUACCAGAAAGGGACGGCUAACUACGUGCCAGCAGCCGCGGUAAUACGUAGGUCCCGAGCGUUGUCCGGAUUUAUUGGGCGUAAAAGCGAGCGCAGGCGGUUUGAU
rnacentral:rRNA from 1 species